GACGUAGGGCGCAAGCGUUGUCCGGAUUUAUUGGGCGUAAAGAGCUCGUAGGCGGCUUGCCACGUCUGCCGUGAAAACCAGCAGCUUAACUGUUGGCUUGCGGUUGAUACGGGUUGGCUGGAGUUCGGUAGGGGAGACUGGAAUUCCUGGUGUAGCGGUGAAAUGCGCAGAUAUCUGGAGGAACACCGGUGGCGAAGGCGGCAUCCUGGACCAACACUGACACUGAGGAGCGAAAGCCAGGGGAGCAAACGGG
rnacentral:rRNA from 1 species